UGGGGAAUCUUGCGCAAUGGACGAAAGUCUGACGCAGCGACGCCGCGUGGGCGACGAAGGCCUUCGGGUUGUAAAGCCCUGUGGGGAGGGACGAACACUGAUUGUUCAAAUAGGGCAGUCAGCUGACGGUACCUCCUUAGCAAGCACCGGCUAACUCUGUGCCAGCAGCCGCGGUAAGACAGAGGGUGCAAACGUUGCUCGGAAUUACUGGGCGUAAAGCGCGUGUAGGUGGUCACGCAAGUCAGGUGUGAAAGCCCAGGGCUCAACCCUGGAAGUGCACAUGAUACUACGUGGCUGGAGUACUGAAGAGGAGAGCGGAAUUCCCGGUGUAGAGGUGAAAUUCGUAGAUAUCGGGAGGAACACCAGUGGCGAAGGCGGCUCUCUGGGCAGAUACUGACACUGAGACGCGAAAGCGUGGGUAGCAAACAG
rnacentral:rRNA from 1 species